AGAGUUUGAUCAUGGCUCAGGAUGAACGCUAGCGGGAGGCUUAACACAUGCAAGUCGAGGGGCAGCAUAGGGUAGCAAUACUCUGAUGGCGACCGGCAAACGGGUGAGUAACGCGUAUGUAACCUACCCUGUACAGGGGGAUAACCCGGAGAAAUUCGGACUAAUAUCCCAUAACAAUAUUCAGAGGCAUCUUUGGAUAUUUAAAGUUCCGGCGGUACGGGAUGGGCGUGCGUAACAUUAGCUAGUUGGUAAGGUAACGGCCUACCAAGGCUUUGAUGUUUAGGGGUCCUGAGAGGGUGGUCCCCCACACUGGUACUGAGACACGGGCCAGACUCCUACGGGAGGCAGCAGUGAGGAAUAUUGGUCAAUGGGCGCAAGCCUGAACCAGCCAUCCCGCGUGCAGGAAGACGGCCCUAUGGGUUGUAAACUGCUUUUCCAGGGAGAGAAACUUGCGCACGUGUUGCGCAAUUGACGGUACCCUGGGAAUAAGCAUCGGCUAACUCCGUGCCAGCAGCCGCGGUAAUACGGAGGAUGCGAGCGUUAUCCGGAUUCAUUGGGUCUAAAGGGUGCGUAGGCGGACUAUUAAGUCAGUGGUGAAAUCCUGCAGCUUAACUGCAGAACUGCCAUUGAUACUGAUAGCCUUGAGUUUGGUUAAGGUAGGCGGAAUGUGUAAUGUAGCGGUGAAAUGCUUAGAUAUUACACAGAACACCAAUUGCGUAGGCAGCUUACUGAGCCGACACUGACGCUGAGGCACGAAAGCGUGGGGAUCGAACAGGAUUAGAUACCCUGGUAGUCCACGCCGUAAACUAUGAUUACUCGCUGUUGGCGAUACACUGUCAGCGGCUAAGCAAAGGCAAUAAGUAAUCCACCUGGGGAGUACGGCCGCAAGGUUGAAACUCAAAGGAAUUGACGG
rnacentral:rRNA from 1 species